rnacentral:rRNA from 1 species
GCCCUUAGCAACACAAGUAUUAAAGGUCCUGCCUGCCCAGUGAAACAUUUUAACGGCCGCGGUAUUCUAACCGUGCAAAGGUAGCGUAAUCAUUUGUCUUCUAAAUAAAGACCAGUAUGAACGGCUAAAUGAGGACAAGCCUGUCUCCUGCAACCUAUCAGUGAAACUGAUCUCCCAGUCCAAAAGCUGGAAUACAAACAUAAGACGAGAAGACCCUGUGGAGCUUAAAAUUUACUCACUAAUGAACCUCUACACCACUAGUAUAAAAUUUUAAGUUGGGGCGACUUCGGAAUAAAAUAAAACUUCCGAGCACAGAACCACCAAUUCUAACUAAGGCAGACAGGCCUAAGAGAAAACUGACCCAGUCACACUGAUCAACGAACCAAGUUACCCCAGGGAUAACAGCGCCAUCUUCUUCAAGAGUCCAUAUCGACAAGAAGGUUUACGACCUCGAUGUUGGAUCAGGGCACCCUAAUGGUGCAGCCGCUAUUAAAGGUUCGUUUGUUCAACGAUUAACAGCC